CCUGGCGGCACUAGCGCGGUGGUCCCACCUGACCCCAUGCCGAACUCAGAAGUGAAACGCCGUAGCGCCGAUGGUAGUCU
rnacentral:rRNA from 1 species